ensembl:lncRNA
UGAAACGCACGUUGCCGUCACUGGUGGGAGUAAGACGCUAGCUGCACCUUGUCAGGAGUUUCAUGCCGGAACUUCACGUUAGGCAUUGCCCUGUUUGACUAUAGUAUUGCAAGAGGUCUCCCCUGGCUACUGGGGUUAACAAGGGACGCCAAGCUGACGUGGGUCCCUCCUCCCCAUGUCCACCUGGGUCCUUCCUUUGGUAUGACCGUCAAGGCCAAGAUCACAGCAGCAAUUGACACACAGUUGAUAGUCUGGCCACUGUUUUCCUCCUGUUUAUUUCUUUGAUGUAGUUCUGUGUGUAUUGACUGACCUAGUUGAAGCCACGUGUCUCGUUGUUACGUGUAGGUGUAUCAUUGUCACCCAUUUCUGUGGCCUGGGUGCCUAACUCAGGGCGAGUGGCAGGGUAACACUGUAUUGGUACAUGUAUGGUACUAUUCUGCCCCUUAAGUUGCUGUGUGAACACCCCCCUAGUGGUUGAGUGGAGUUUGACAUGACCUGUAUAAGGUUGUUCUCUGUGUGAUUUAUCUUGACCUCACCGUUUUGCACUUUGCAGUAUUACCCUAGUGUGUGCAUGAGUGUGCUAUUCAUCACGUAUGGCUGAAUAGUGGUCAGAGGUACUCUAGUCGUGUUACCCUAGUUACUCUGGGUUGGCCCCCUGGGCCUAUGUUAUGUGUUUGUUU